GUCUUUUUGAGUUAUUUUUAAAGUCUGACCUGCCCACUGAGUUUUAAAUGGCCGCAGUAUUUUAACUGUGCAAAGGUAGCAUAAUCAUUAGUCUUUUAAUUGAAGGCUGGUAUGAACGGUUGGACGAGGUAUAAGCUGUUUCAUAUAAAAUUAUAAUAGAAUUUUAUAUUUUAGUUAAAAAGCUAAAAUAUAAUUAAAAGACGAGAAGACCCUAUAAAUCUUUAUACUUUAGAUAAUUUAAAUUUUUUGGGUUUAUUUUAUUUUUAUUAUAUUGAGUAUUUUGUUGGGGUGAUAUUAAAAUUUAAUGAACUUUUAAUUGGGGUUUAAAUCAUUAAUUUAUGAAUUGUUGAUCCAUUAAUAGUGAUUAUAAGAUUAAGUUACUUUAGGGAUAACAGCGUAAUUUUUUUGGAGAGUUCAUAUCGAUAAAAAAGUUUGCGACCUCGAUGUUGGAUUAAGAUAUAAUUUUAGGUGUAGUCGCUUAAAUGUUAAGUCUGUUCGACUUUUAAAUUCUU
rnacentral:rRNA from 1 species